CAUAGGUUAAUGAGGCGAACCGGGGGAACUGAAACAUCUAAGUACCCCGAGGAAAAGAAAUCAACCGAGAUUCCCCCAGUAGCGGCGAGCGAACGGGGAGCAGCCCAGAGCCUGAAUCAGUGUGUGUGUUAGUGGAAGCGUCUGGAAAGGCGCGCGAUACAGGGUGACAGCCCCGUACACAAAAAUGCACAUACUGUGAGCUCGAUGAGUAGGGCGGGACACGUGGUAUCCUGUCUGAAUAUGGGGGGACCAUCCUCCAAGGCUAAAUACUCCUGACUGACCGAUAGUGAACCAGUACCGUGAGGGAAAGGCGAAAAGAACCCCGGCGAGGGGAGUGAAAAAGAACCUGAAACCGUGUACGUACAAGCAGUGGGAGCACGCUUAGGCGUGUGACUGCGUACCUUUUGUAUAAUGGGUCAGCGACUUAUAUUCUGUAGCAAGGUUAACCGAAUAGGGGAGCCGAAGGGAAACCGAGUCUUAACUGGGCGUUAAGUUGCAGGGUAUAGACCCGAAACCCGGUGAUCUAGCCAUGGGCAGGUUGAAGGUUGGGUAACACUAACUGGAGGACCGAACCGACUAAUGUUGAAAAAUUAGCGGAUGACUUGUGGCUGGGGGUGAAAGGCCAAUCAAACCGGGAGAUAGCUGGUUCUCCCCGAAAGCUAUUUAGGUAGCGCCUCGUGAAUUCAUCUCCGGGGGUAGAGCACUGUUUCGGCAAGGGGGUCAUCCCGACUUACCAACCCGAUGCAAACUGCGAAUACCGGAGAAUGUUAUCACGGGAGACACACGGCGGGUGCUAACGUCCGUCGUGAAGAGGGAAACAACCCAGACCGCCAGCUAAGGUCCCAAAGUCAUGGUUAAGUGGGAAACGAUGUGGGAAGGCCCAGACAGCCAGGAUGUUGGCUUAGAAGCAGCCAUCAUUUAAAGAAAGCGUAAUAGCUCACUGGUCGAGUCGGCCUGCGCGGAAGAUGUAACGGGGCUAAACCAUGCACCGAAGCUGCGGCAGCGACGCUGAUGCGUUGUUGGGUAGGGGAGCGUUCUGUAAGCCUGUGAAGGUGUGCUGUGAGGCAUGCUGGAGGUAUCAGAAGUGCGAAUGCUGACAUAAGUAACGAUAAAGCGGGUGAAAAGCCCGCUCGCCGGAAGACCAAGGGUUCCUGUCCAACGUUAAUCGGGGCAGGGUGAGUCGACCCCUAAGGCGAGGCCGAAAGGCGUAGUCGAUGGGAAACAGGUUAAUAUUCCUGUACUUGGUGUUACUGCGAAGGGGGGACGGAGAAGGCUA
rnacentral:rRNA from 1 species